GAUGAACGCUGACAGAAUGCUUAACACAUGCAAGUCAACUUGAAUUUGGGUUUUUAACUUAGGUUUGGGUGGCGGACGGGUGAGUAACGCGUAAAGAACUUGCCUCACAGCUAGGGACAACAUUUGGAAACGAAUGCUAAUACCUAAUAUUAUGAUAAUAGGGCAUCCUAUAAUUAUGAAAGCUAUAAGCGCUGUGAGAGAGCUUUGCGUCCCAUUAGCUAGUUGGAGAGGUAACGGCUCACCAAGGCGAUGAUGGGUAGCCGGUCUGAGAGGGUGAUCGGCCACAAGGGGACUGAGACACGGCCCUUACUCCUACGGGAGGCGGCAGCGGGGAAUAUUGGACAAUGGACCGAGAGUCUGAUCCAGCAAUUCUGUGUGCACGAUGAAGUUUUUCGGAAUGUAAAGUGCUUUCAGUUGGGAAGAAACAAAUGACGGUACCAACAGAAGAAGUGACGGCUAAAUACGUG
rnacentral:rRNA from 1 species